UGGGGAAUCUUGCACAAUGGGGGCAACCCUGAUGCAGCGACGCCGCGUGAGCGAUGAAGCCCUUCGGGGCGUAAAGCUCUUUCGACCGGAACGAUAAUGACGGUACCGGGAGAAGAAGCUGCGGCUAACUACGUGCCAGCAGCCGCGGUAAUACGUAGGCAGCAAGCGUUGUUCGGAGUUACUGGGCGUAAAGAGUGCGUAGGCGGUUUUCUAAGUUCGGUGUGGAAUCUCCCGGCUUAACUGGGAGGAUGCGCCGAAGACUGGGAUACUGGAGUGUGGGAAAGGCAGGCGGAAUUCCUGGUGUAGCGGUGAAAUGCGUAGAUAUCAGGAGGAACGCCGGCGGUGUAGACGGCUUGCUAGACCAUAACUGACGCUGAGGCACGAAAGCGUGGGUAGCAAACA
rnacentral:rRNA from 1 species